rnacentral:rRNA from 1 species
AUUGAACGCUGGCGGCAGGCCUAACACAUGCAAGUCGAGCGGCAGCGGGAAAGUAGCUUGCUACUUUUGCCGGCGAGCGGCGGACGGGUGAGUAAUGACUGGGAAAUUGCCCAGUCGAGGGGGAUAACAGUUGGAAACGACUGCUAAUACCGCAUACGCCCUACGGGGGAAAGCAGGGGACCUUCGGGCCUUGCGCGAUUGGAUAUGCCCAGGGUAGAUUAGCUAGUUGGUGAGGUAAUGGCUCACCAAGGCGACGAUCCCUAGCUGGUCUGAGAGGAUGAUCAGCCACACUGGAACUGAGACACGGUCCAGACUCCUACGGGAGGCAGCAGUGGGGAAUAUUGCACAAUGGGGGAAACCCUGAUGCAGCCAUGCCGCGUGUGUGAAGAAGGCCUUCGGGUUGUAAAGCACUUUCAGCGAGGAGGAAAGGUUGAUGCCUAAUACGUAUCAACUGUGACGUUACUCGCAGAAGAAGCACCGGCUAACUCCGUGCCAGCAGCCGCCGUAA